UACGAUGUAGUUUAAUAAAAACAAGUUCUUUGCAUGAAUUAAAUGGAAGUUUUUGAUCUUUCCGUUGUUA
rnacentral:tRNA from 1 species